rnacentral:rRNA from 1 species
UACGGAAGGCAGUAGUGGGGAAUAUUGCACAAUGGGCGCAAGCCUGAUGCAGCCAUGCCGCGUGUAUGAAAAAGGCCUUCGGGUUGUAAAGUACUUUCAGUCGUGAGGAAGGUGUUAAGGUUAAUAACCUUAGCAAUUGACGUUAGCGACAGAAGAAGCACCGGCUAACUCCGUGCCAGCAGCCGCGGUAAUACGGAGGGUGCGAGCGUUAAUCGGAAUUACUGGGCGUAAAGGGCACGCAGGCGGUUAAUUAAGUUGGAUGUGAAAUCCCCGGGCUUAACCUGGGAAUGGCAUUCAAGACUGGUUAGCUAGAGUCUUGUAGAGGGGGUAGAAUUCCAUGUGUAGCGGUGAAAUGCGUAGAGAUGUGGAGGAAUACCGGUGGCGAAGGCGGCCCCUGGACAAAGACUGACGCUCAUGUGCGAAAGCGUGGGGAGCAAACAGGGAUUAGAUACC